rnacentral:piRNA from 1 species
UGCAGCCUUUGAUUGCCAGUUGGUGAUCCAAC